rnacentral:lncRNA from 1 species
CUGCCCCAGCGAAUUAGGAAGAGGACUCCAUUGGGGUGAACAGCAUCAAAAAUGUGCAUCUCCUAAAGCCCGGGGUUUUAGGGGAAAGCUGCUUGGCUAGGUUGGAUGUGGGUUCCUAUUUUUGUUUUCAAAAUUGGCGGAAGGGGUAAUGCGGCGUGGUGGAAGGGUACCGGGGUUCUAGACUUGGCUCAGACGCUAACUUGUCCUGUGCCCCGGGGCAAACGCUGAGCUCCCCAUCUGUAAAACAAACCGAACCAGACGGUCGUUAACGCUCUUUUUUAACGCUCUUUCUGGGUCGAACAUUGGAUGUUCUAAGUCCCUUCCUGCUCUCACAUCCAACAUUCUAAGCUCCCUUCCCUCCUUCCAGUGUAGCCACGAAGCAGCCUAUGUAGCGGUCAGAGUGCUAGAGGACCUAGGUUUAAAUCCUCAUUCAGAUUUUACUACCUGGGACCACAGACAAUUUCCGAAGCUUUCAGAGCCUCAUCUGUAAAAUGGGGGUCACCUCCAACUUGAUUAUCCCAAGUCCCAGACAUAAAACCAUCUUCUUGCUUCAGUCAUCACCAUCAGCCAAAGACCUUCAGCCAAGUCCAGCAGUUGGCUCUUGCUUCCAACUGUUUCCCAGUCACAUUCCAAAUGGAAUCUUCAUUUGACUGACAUGAUCAAUCUCCAGCUUCUUGUCUUGCUGCAUGCAUGCCUCUUCCACAGCACUGUGCUAAGCUUCGGGGAUACAAGGAAGGCAAAAAAUACUCCCUCUCUUAAGCAGCCUCAUGAAGGAAACAAUAUGCAAAUGGUAGGUACAAACAAGAAAUGCAUAAGAUAAACAGUAAGUCAACAAAUGGAAGACAUUAGAGUCAGGAAGGAUUGGAAAAGACUUCUUGCAGAAGAUGAGAUUUCAGCUCUGACUUAAAGGAAUCCACGGAAGUCCCAUGAGGAGGGAGAGAGGACUAGGCAUGAGGAAGAGCCAGUGAAAAUAUUUGGUCAGGAGAUGAAAUGUUUCAUGCAAGGAACAGCCAGUAGGCCAAUGACACCAGAUCAUAGUGUAUGUGGAAGGGAGAAAGGUGUAAGAAGACUGGAAAUGUAGGAAGGGGCCAGGAUUAGAAGGGCUUUGGACUUUCAAUUGGAUUCUGAAGGUAAUGGGGAGGCACUGGCAUUUUACUGAAUAGGGAGUGAUAUUGUCAGAGCUGUGUUUUGGGAAGAUCACCUUGACGGCUUUAAGGAGGAUGAAUUGGAGUGAGAUGAGUCUUCAGGAAAGAAGACCAAUUAGCAGACUGUGAGAAGAUAAGGGCCUUCCUGCACCAGGGUGAUAUGCCAGUGUGUCUGGGGAGAGAAGUGGUCAUAUAUGAGAGAAGCCACAAAAGUGGGAACAAGAGGAUUUGGCCACUUCUCUGGUCUUCA